rnacentral:rRNA from 1 species
UACGGAGGGUGCAAGCGUUAUCCGGAUUCACUGGGUUUAAAGGGUGCGUAGGCGGCGCGGUAAGUCGGGUGUGAAAUCUCGGAGCUUAACUCCGAAACUGCAUUCGAUACUGCCGUGCUUGAGGACUGGAGAGGAGACUGGAAUUUACGGUGUAGCGGUGAAAUGCGUAGAUAUCGUAAGGAAGACCAGUGGCGAAGGCGGGUCUCUGGACAGUUCCUGACGCUGAGGCACGAAGGUCAGGGGAGCAAACGGG